CGGCCGCCGGGCGCCGGCAGUGGCGCGCGGGGGGCCGUGAGCCGUCCGGGCCGGCCGCCUGGCAGGCGGUCGUCGCCGGUCGUCGCCGUGGUGCUCGCC
rnacentral:tRNA from 1 species